rnacentral:rRNA from 1 species
UGCCUAACACAUGCAAGUCGAACGGUAACGCGGAGAGCUUGCUCUCUGGCGACGAGUGGCGGACGGGUGAGUAAUACUUAGGAAUCUGCCCAGUAGUGGGGGACAACAUUCGGAAACGGAUGCUAAUACCGCAUACGCACUACGGUGGAAAGUGGGGGAUCUUCGGACCUCACGCUAUUGGAUGAGCCUAAGUCGGAUUAGCUUGUUGGUGAGGUAAUGGCUCACCAAGGCGACGAUCUGUAGCUGGUCUGAGAGGAUGAUCAGCCACACUGGGACUGAGACACGGCCCAGACUCCUACGGGAGGCAGCAGUGGGGAAUAUUGGACAAUGGGCGCAAGCCUGAUCCAGCAAUACCGCGUGUGUGAAGAAGGCCUUCGGGUUGUAAAGCACUUUCAGUAGGGAGGAAAUGCUCAGCGCUAAUAUCGCUGAGAGAUGACGUUACCUACAGAAGAAGCACCGGCUAACUCCGUG